rnacentral:rRNA from 1 species
CACCUACGGGUGGCUGCAGUCGGGAAUUUUGCGCAAUGGACGAAAGUCUGACGCAGCAACGCCGCGUGAGGGAUGAAGGCCUUCGGGUUGUAAACCUCUUUUGUCAGGGACGAUGAUGACGGUACCUGACGAAUAAGCCACGGCUAACUACGUGCCAGCAGCCGCGGUAAUACGUAGGUGGCAAGCGUUGUCCGGAUUUACUGGGCGUAAAGAGCGCGCAGGCGGUCGUUCAAGUCGCGUGUGAAAGCCCCCGGCUCAACUGGGGAGGGUCACGCGAUACUGAUCGACUCGAAGGCAGGAGAGGGUAGUGGAAUUCCCGGUGUAGUGGUGAAAUGCGUAGAUAUCGGGAGGAACACCAGUGGCGAAGGCG